rnacentral:tRNA from 1 species
GGAUUGUGGCUCAGCGGUAGAGCGCUUGCCUCGCACGGGCGGGACCUGGGUUCAAUCCUCAGCACCA